UUGCAUCAAAAUCCAUUUGUUCCCCUUCAAAGACAAUUUUAUUUCUGUGACACCAAAUGGACCAAGCCACUGCACACCAAACAGCUCUCCACACAAUAGUUUUAUUCCUUCCCAGCCAUGCAAAAACAAUUAUACAUAAAGAAAUGUUCUUUGGGAUCUCUGUGUUGAGCAAUCUGAACCCCAAUCCAUUUGUAACAAUUUUGCCAAAUUUGAUAUUAGAACGGACAGUGAAUAUAUUAAAUGGCUGUUAUCCUCCUAUUUUCUAAGCAGAACGGACAAAGGUGGUGUUGCUCUUCCAACAAGAUGUUCCUAUAUUGCAGAUUUUUCGUAGUGGGUAAUCUAUCCUUUGCCAGUUUCCACACGAAGAUAACCCCAUUAUGGGGGAUGACAAGCUUUCAAAAUAACCUAUAUAGAAAAGGACAUCACGAGAAUUUGU
rnacentral:lncRNA from 1 species